rnacentral:rRNA from 1 species
UACGGGAGGCAGCAGUAGGGAAUUUUCGGCAAUGGGGGAAACCCUGACCGAGCAACGCCGCGUGAGCGAAGAAGGCCUUCGGGUCGUAAAGCUCUGUUGUAAAGGAAGAACGGCGCAUACAGGAAAUGGUAUGCGAGUGACGGUACUUUACCAGAAAGCCACGGCUAACUACGUGCCAGCAGCCGCGGUAAUACGUAGGUGGCGAGCGUUAUCCGGAAUCAUUGGGCGUAAAGAGGGAGCAGGCGGCCGCAAGGGUCUGUGGUGAAAGACCGAAGCUAAACUUCGGUAAGCCAUGGAAACCGGGCGGCUGGAGUGCGGAAGAGGAUCGUGGAAUUCCAUGUGUAGCGGUGAAAUGCGUAGAUAUAUGGAGGAACACCAGUGGCGAAGGCGACGGUCUGGGCCGCAACUGACGCUCAUUCCCGAAAGCGUGGGGAGCAAAUAGGAUUAGAUACCCUAGUAGUCCACGCCGUAAACGAUGGUCACUAAGUGUCGGGGGUCAAACCCCGGUGCUGCAGUCAACGCAAUAAGUGACCCGCCUGAGUAGUACGUUCGCAAGAAUGAAACUCAAAGGAAUUGACGG